CCUACGGGAGGCAGCAGUGGGGAAUAUUGGGCAAUGGAGGAAACUCUGACCCAGCAACGCCGCGUGAAGGAUGAAGGUUUUCGGAUUGUAAACUUCUGUCGCGAGGGAUGAAGAAUGACGGUACCUCGUAAGAAAGCCCCGGCUAAAUACGUGCCAGCAGCCGCGGUAAUACGUAUGGAGCACGCGUUAUCCGGAUUUACUGGGUUUAAAGGGAGAGUAGGUGGCAGAGCAAGUCCGAAGGGAAAACCCAAAGCUCAACUAUGGGAAUGCUUUAGAAACUGCUCAGCUAGAGUGCAGGAGAGGCAAGUGGAAUGCGUAGUGUAGCGGGGAAAUGCGUAGAUAUUAGGAGGAACACCAGUGGCGAAGGCGGCUUGCUGGACUGUAACUGACGCUGAGGCUCGAAAGCGUGGGGAGCGAACAGGAUUAGAUACCCUUGUAGUC
rnacentral:rRNA from 1 species